UACGUAGGUGGCGAGCGUUGUCCGGAUUUACUGGGCGUAAAGGGAGCGUAGGCGGACUUUUAAGUGAGAUGUGAAAUACCCGGGCUCAACUUUGGUGCUGCAUUUCAAGCUGGAAGUCUAGAGUGCAGGAGAGGAGAAUGGAAUUCCUAGUGUAGCGGUGAAAUGCGUAGAGAUUAGGAAGAACACCAGUGGCGAAGGCGAUUCUCUGGACUGUAACUGACGCUGAGGCUCGAAAGCGUGGGGAGCAAACAGGAUUAGAUA
rnacentral:rRNA from 1 species